UUUUGCCCUAAGCAGCCUGUAUACCGCCGUCGCAAGCUAAGCCCGUGAGGGACAAAACCCCAGCACAAUAACACACCUCUAAGCUAGUACGUCAGGUCAAGGUGCAGCCUAUAAGUUGGUAGAGACGGGCUACAUUUUCUACAUCAUAGAAAUUGGUCACGGAGAGGCCUGUGAAACCAGGACUGUCAAAGACGG
rnacentral:rRNA from 1 species